GAUGAACGCUGGCGGCGUGCCUAAUACAUGCAAGUUGAGCGAACGGACGAGAAGCUUGCUUCUCUGAUGUUAGCGGCGGACGGGUGAGUAACACGUGGAUAACCUACCUAUAAGACUGGGAUAACUUCGGGAAACCGGAGCUAAUACCGGAUGAUAUUUUGAACCGCAUGGUUCAAAAGUGAAAGACGGUCUUGCUGUCACUUAUAGAUGGAUCCGCGCUGCAUUAGCUAGUUGGUAAGGUAACGGCUUACCAAGGCAACGAUGCAUAGCCGACCUGAGAGGGUGAUCGGCCACACUGGAACUGAGACACGGUCCAGACUCCUACGGGAGGCAGCAGUAGGGAAUCUUCCGCAAUGGGCGAAAGCCUGACGGAGCAACGCCGCGUGAGUGAUGAAGGUCUUCGGAUCGUAAAACUCUGUUAUUAGGGAAGAACAUAUGUGUAAGUAACUGUGCACAUCUUGACGGCACCUAAUCAGAAAGCCACGGCUAACUACGUG
rnacentral:rRNA from 1 species